AGUGGCAGACGGGUGAGUAACGCGUGGGAAUCUACCUUUGAGUGGGGAAUAACAAUUAGAAAUGAUUGCUAAUACCGCAUACACCCUCCGGGGGAAAGGCUUCGGCCGCACUUAGAUGAGCCCGCGUACGAUUAGUUUGUUGGUGAGGUAAAGGCUCACCAAGACUACGAUCGUUAGCUGGUUUGAGAGGAUGAUCAGCCACACUGGGACUGAGACACGGCCCAGACUCCUACGGGAGGCAGCAGUGGGGAAUAUUGGACAAUGGGCGAAAGCCUGAUCCAGCCAUGCCGCGUGAGUGAAGAAGGCCUUAGGGUUGUAAAACUCUUUCGACAGGGAAGAUAAUGACGGUACCUGUAUAAGAAGCUCCGGCUAACUCCGUGCCAGCAGCCGCGGUAAUACGGAGGGGGCAAGCGUUGCUCGGAAUUACUGGGCGUAAAGCGAGCGUAGGCGGUUAGUCAAGUUGGUGGUGAAAGCCCGGAGCUCAACUCCGGAACUGCCAUCAAAACUGACUUACUUGAGAUUGGUAGAGGAAAAUGGAAUUCCUAGUGUAGAGGUGAAAUUCGUAGAUAUUGGGAAGAACAUCGGUGGCGAAGGCGAUUUUCUGGGCCAUAUCUGACGCUGAGGUUCGAAAGCGUGGGUAGCAAACAGGAUUAGAUACCCUGGUAGUCCACGCCGUAAACGAUGAGUGCUAGACGUUGGAAAUUAAUUUUUCAGUGUCGUAGUUAACGCAUUAAGCACUCCGCCUGGGGAGUAC
rnacentral:rRNA from 1 species